GCCAGAGUGGCGGAAUUGGCAGACGCGCACGGUUUAGGGCCGUGUUUCCGUAAGGAAGUGUGGGUUCAAGUCCCACCUCUGGCA
rnacentral:tRNA from 1 species